GGCCGUACCCUAAUAUGACCUUUGACGCUGUUCAAACGGAGGUUGACAAUGGUUACCAGAUGCCACGCCCUCGUCAUUGUGCACAAGAAGUGUAUACGGUCAUGUCUGGUUGUUGGGAGAAGGAACCUACGAAUCGGAGUAACUUUGAUCAGACCCUCACGAGUUUGGAGAGGAUUCUAGAAAAAGAAUCACAUUUACCUGUCUCUCAAUGACUUAGAUGAAGGAUUGUUUGUGUCUACACUGGACAUGUGAGAUUAAGCCUAGGUCGGAUAUACAGCGGUACUACAAUGCAUCUUCACCUUUUUCGCUGUAUGAUGACUGGAACCGAGCCAACUAAUUGGACUAUAGGGACGUUGUAGGGACAUUAAAAGGACUAACUUGUGUUAGAUUUAGCCAAGAGUGCAGAAUUAGGCUAUCGCAAAUACUUUAAAAAAAUAUUUUGCGUUGAGUUUACGUCAUUUUGAAAGAUUUUCCUUUUUUUUCAAUAUCAAUAAGUAGAAUUUGUAAAAUAGUUAAAGAAGUUUAAUUGACAAUGUCUGGAUGUGCAGCUAUUUUAGAAAACAUGAAAUUUGUGAAUAUCAAGAGGCCCUAGUAUAACAACUGAUCUCAUACAUUCAACAGCAAUUUUUUUGUUUUUACUGUGUGAAAUUUAUUUCUAAUUACCUUGCAACGUUUGCCAAUCUUUGUGUUAUUUCAUAGUAUUGUAUAUGUGGAUGACCUCCUACCCCCUUUCUUCUUUCUUUUCAUCACCCCUCUCUCUCUCUUCUCUCUCUCUCUCUCUCUAUAUAUAUAUUUUCCUUUGUUUCCAUUCUCCCCUCCGUCUGUCAAUCCAUAUUUAUCUCUCUCCACUAUUCUCCUCUUCUUUCCAUCUUUUGCACUCUUAGUCCUCUUUCUCACCCUCUCCCC